CGUGGAAGCUGAUUCUUCUCAAAUUUGGUGAAGUCCAUCUCGGCAGGUUGCCGGCAGCAGGUCUGAGUACUGCUCGCAUUUCUGCGGGCCGUGAUUUGGGUCCGAAAGAGGCUGGGGCCUUGUGCCGGGCCUCCGCUCAGCUCGCCCCCGGUGACCCGGCUGAAAGGCUGCCCCGGCUGCAGCGGUGGCUCUUCCCUUCGGUGGGGAUGGGGCUGCAUGUCGCGCCUCGUGUUUCCUAGGGAUGGGGCUUCAUCACCGCGUCCGUGCUCUUGCUGCUGGGUUGCCAUCCAGGCAGGAGCCUCCCAGUGACUCCUGCCUUUUAGCGUUUGAUAAAACGUGAAAACGAAUCGUUCAUGCCAUGGCAAAACAGGGUUUUAUCCUCUCCAAAGUGAAAGAUGCCCCCCUCCUAUUAAACCGUAACCACCUUUCGCAUUUUGUAACUCCGACUCUGAGACCUUCCACAGUCCUUCCACUGUUUUCACUCAUCGCUACUUGACCAGACUCCCAGAGAAAUCAAAACCCUUAUUAGCAAAUGUGUUGAUCAGAUAAGCUUGGAUGCUAAAAAAAUGACAGCAUAUAUCUGGCCAAAGUGGUAUUUACUGCCAUUUUUGUUCAGUGGGAUCUGCCUGAGGAAAUGCCUUUAUUCACGCUCUGCGGAUGGGGAAUUGGGGCACAGGCUGCAAGUGCUGUCCACAAUCACGCAGCGUGCUUGCGACUGAACGGGGGGUGAAUUUUUCCUGAAGAAAUUAUCAGGCAGAAAUAAAAUGCGCAAACAAAAGGCAAUACUUUGUUCACACGAUGCACAAUUAAACAGGGGGAAUUCAUAGAAGGCCAGAAGUGUGCAUGGAUUCAGUGAGGGAUCAGACAACGCCUCGGGGGGGGGGAGGGAAGCAUCGGGAGCUGUAAAAUACAAAAAUGAACAUACAACCUCCAGUUUAGUAACUUCCUGAACCACAGGAAGCUGGGAGCUCAGUUUUAGCAGAGAAGUUACUACACUUCACUAUUUUUUUGCCCAGUUCUCAACUUCUAGUAGCCACUGUCAGAGCUCAGAAUCUGGGCUAUAUGGACUUUUGCCCUUCUCUCUCUAUAUAUAUAUAUAUGUGUGUGUGUGUGUGUGCAUAUAUGUGUGCAUAAAUGUACACACCUAUUUAUGUAUCUAUAUAUAUCCAUAUAUAUAUUUAUAUAUGCAUAUGAACAUACAUGCACCUAUGGAUACACAUACCUUACGGAGAUAUAUAUAUAUAUAUAUAUUCUUCUCUCUCUCUCUUUCUCUUAUAAAAUAUCAUUAUCAGUCCAGGGCUCUUGAGCCCCUGCCCAAUAGAUUUCUCACAGGUGAGUCAAGUAUUUGAUGCAGCAGCCAGUGCUUUCCACAGGAGGAGCCACCGGCGGACUGAAGCAAAGAAAAGCGCCUCCGCACUGAGCAGCUCGUCUUUGGGUGUGAAGCUAAUGGAUGAUUACACGAGGAAAGAAACAGGCAUCCUAUGAGAGGUGGCAGAAAGGAACUCAGCUUGUGCUUGUGUAUGUGGAAAGAUCAUUUGGCUCAGAAAACCUGACCCUGGAAGUUAGGAGGAGACCACUGGAGAAGAAACCGCUGUCACCAGUGAACCCACCCCCGCGGAGCUCUGGGCUGAGCUCUGAUACCCUGUGGUCUCCGCAUGGGCAGGAACAAGAGGACAACUUUGCUGUUAGGUACAUGGGGACAACGUGGAGGAUGCCAAGGAUGCCAAGCCGUCACUGGAGGCGUUGGACCUUACUGCUGUCUUAUUUACCCCAGGAGCAACUGCCCCUGGAGCCAGGGACCCAGCUUUUUGCUCCUGGCGCGCUUUUUCGUGUCCAUCCUGUGCGGGGCCCCUCAGCUGAGCGCUGGACGUCCCGUCGUGAUGGGAAGUGGAGCGGCUGGGGCGCGCGGCCCUUCAGCUGCUUUGGGCUGUAGCGUGCAACGUGUUAAGCUGUGCAAAAAAUGCGUAUAUCAAAGCAGCUCCUGGGCUGCCGGGGCGGCCUGGAAUUUGUGACACGAAAAAGGUAGCGUAAAAAAACCCUUGGGCUCCUGGGAGGUGCGGGGGGUAAUUUAAUAUCAUCCUACUGGCAUAAAAUAAAGGCAAGUGCGAGGGAAAAGAGGCCCACGAUUUACAGUAGACUUAGUAAGGCUGCGUGUGUUUAGAACAGGCUCGAAAGAUGGGCAAAAGAAAUGUUUCUAGAAGUUUCCUAAAAGGCAGCCUUUCUGCUUAGACAAUUUUUCAAGGGCUUGGUAAGCAGGAAUGAAACAAUAUUUUAAAAAGGAAAUUUCCAAGUCACGAACUUCUUCUUUGAAGGCGUUUCCAGCUUCUCCGAAACUUAAAAAGGGGCUGUGUUCAUUUCAAGUUUUGGGUGAAAAUUUGGGUCAAGUUUCAAGAUGGUUUCUCGACCUCUAAUUACUAUUAUUAACACUCCUAAAUGGGCUCUUUAGAAAACCCCUCGACUAAGGAGGGCUGGAGUGAGCUAAUGAGUGUGAGAGGGAGAAGAAGGCCCUUGUCUGCAUUUUAAAUGCCUCGGCCUCGCUAAUUGGGGACCAACGGCGAGUUCUUCCUCGGAGGGGAGAGACUUCAGGGGCAGGUGGGAGCAAGAACAAUCAUUUUUAGACCUGUCACUUUAAAAUAUACCCACUGCUGCUCUGACAUGGCAGAGAGCGGAUUUUUCAGCCACAAUACGUAACUCUACCCUCCCUUUAGGCACUCGCAGGGCUUACUUGUUUUUGUUUUUCAAAAAAUGAGCUGGGCAGGUUUUUCCAAGGUCUCACAGCUUUAAUGAAGAAUAACAAUCUCUGAUGAUCCUGGCAACAGGAAUCUUUUUUUUUUCCCAGACAUAAACGAAGCGGCAGAGAGCCUUGUACCUACAGCUCUGUUAUGUGUUAGACCGGCUGGGUCCCCACUGACGGUGCUGAUCCAACUGGACACUCCCCCUGUCUUCCUGUAUUUUUGUUUUCCCUCUUUCUGGUAAAUACAUUUUUGGAUGCUGUUCCCUCUGUUGCAUGCAGCAUUCCCACCCUCAGGACCCACCCUCGUUUUUCUCCUCAGAGGAUCUACAGCUGCACUGGUUUUAUCCAGGGUGGGGAAGAUUUUCAGUGCUUUGUUGCUGUAGAAGCCUAUUUCAGUGAUCAACACCUGAACACAGAUGACAAACUCCAUAUUUUUCCUUCUGAAUAAAGGGUGGAAAAUGUAUUUACAAGAACUAAUAUUUCUGCUUUCUGUUCCACAGGACUUUUGAAAGCGGUUGUACAUGCUAAUGUGCAACCUGAUGAGUCCCUCUCGCACUUAGAAAUGCAGGCUCACAUAUUAAACACAUGAAAGCUCUGCAGAUUGGGCUGUACCCAGUAUUUUCAGAAGGCACUUCCAAGUCACGAACAACAGAGAAUCAAAGUGACUCUCUGUUUCCAGGAACAUUUUCUUCUUUCCAUAAGCCAAGGAAUCCAAAGACCUGAAAUAUUUUAUUUUGACUGAUAUUUUGGCCAAUUACUCUUUGUCUUGCAAUUGCACAUAUAUAGUCAAUUCCACCCAUGUGAAGCUGCACAAAGUUGAAGGAUCACUCAGGGUCAACCCGAAACUCCAUCUAUCUGUGUAUAAUGCUUUUGCUGUCUGGCUGUAUAGAGCUAUUUUUAUACCUUGUUCUGCUAUUGCUUAAAUAAAGAAAUGCUCAUUUAUAUGUGAAAAA